CAGCCGCCGCGGUAACACGUAGGUCCCGAGCGUUGUCCGGAUUUAUUGGGCGUAAAGCGAGCGCAGGCGGUUAGAUAAGUCUGAAGUUAAAGGCUGUGGCUUAACCAUAGUACGCUUUGGAAACUGUUUAACUUGAGUGCAAGAGGGGAGAGUGGAAUUCCAUGUGUAGCGGUGAAAUGCGUAGAUAUAUGGAGGAACACCGGUGGCGAAAGCGGCUCUCUGGCUUGUAACUGACGCUGAGGCUCGGAAGCGUGGGGAGCAAACAGGAUUAGAUACCCCUGUAGUCCCUGUCUCUUAUACA
rnacentral:rRNA from 1 species